rnacentral:lncRNA from 1 species
UAUAAACCCUUAUAUAUAAUUCAUAUUUUUAAAUACAGAGCUUCAGGGUAAUCACUACAACAAAAACGGUCUAUAGCGACACUUUUAAAUGUUGGUACAUGUCAAAAAAGUGCCGCUAGCUAAAAUAACCCACACUUUUAAAAAGUGUUGCUAUAUGUGGGGUCGUUAGGUAUAUAGUGACAGUUAAAGAGUGUCGUUAUAACCUAAAAGAGUGCUGCUAAUUUACCAACACUUAUUUAAGCAUUUAGCAACCGCCGAAACUCUAUCGCGUUGGCUGCGGUAGCAGAUGAGGACGACAGAAAAGGUUCUUCGUCUAGAAUUUCAGUGGAUUAAGUGAAGAGAGAAGAAAAGAUGGUAAUUGAUUUUUUUUUUUUCUUUUCUGUUUGUAAUCGGGCAAAUGGACUGGGUGUGAUGGGUUGAGUAGAAUAAUCUUUUAUUUUUUGGUUGGAUUGGGCUUUAUAUUUAGGCCUUAGUAGAUGUUUUUUUAAGUUUUAGUAUAAAUGAGACACUUAUUCAAAAGUGUUCCAAACAUGUGUCCUUAUAACCUAAUUCUGUUGUAGUGAAUACUUUAAAUUAAGAGAAAAACAUGGGAGAGCUU